rnacentral:lncRNA from 1 species
UCGGCAAUCAGGCGCCUACAUAGAGAACAAAGGAAUGCAGUUCAAGUUUCGGCAAUCAGGCGCCCACUUAGAGAACAAGGGAAUAUAGUUCAGGUUUUGGCAAUCAGGCGCCCAUCUAGAGAACAAGGGAAUACAGUUCAAGUUUGGGCAAUCAGGCACCUACCUGGAGAACAAGGGAAUACAGUUAAAGUUUUGGCAAUCAGGCGCCCACCUGGAGAACAAGGGAAUAUAGUUCAAGUUUUGGCAAUCAAGCGCCCACCUGGAGAACAAGGGAAUACAGUUUCAAGUUUUGGCAAUCAGGCGCCCACCUGGAGAACAAGGAAAUACAGUUAAAGUUUUGGCAAACAGGCACCCACCUGGAGAACAAGGGAAUACAAUUCAAGUUUUCGCAAUUAGGCGCCCACCUGGAGAAAUAGGGAAUACAGUUCAAGUUUUGGCAAUCAGGCGCCCACCUAGAGAACAAGGGAAUACAGUUCAAGUUUCAGCAAUCAGGCGCUCACUUGGAGAAUAAGGGAAUACAAUUCAAGUUUCGGCAAUCAGGCGCCCACUUGGAGAACAAGGAAAUACAGUUCAAGUUUUGGCAAUCAGGCACCCACCUGGAGAACAAGGGAAUAUAGUUUCAAGUUUUGGCAAUCAGGCGCCCACAUGUAGAACAAGGGAAUAUAGUUAAAGUUUUGGCAAUCAGGCACCCAUCUGGAAAAUAAGGGAAUACAGUUCAAGUUUUGGCAAUCAGGCGCCCACCUGGAGAACAAGGGCAUACAAUUCAAGUUUUGGCAAUCAGGCGCCCACCUGGAGAACAAGGGAAUAUAGUUAAAGUUUUGGCAAUCAGGCACUCACCUGGAGAACAAGGGAAUACAGUUCAAGUUUUGGCAAUCAGGUGCCCACCUGGAGAACAAGGGCAUACAGUUCAAGUUUUGGUAAUCAGGCGCCUACCUGGAGAACAAGGGAAUACAGUUAAAGUUUUGGCAAUCAGGCGCCCACCUGGAGAACAAGGGAAUAUAGUUCAAGUUUUGGCAAUCAAGCGCCCACCUGGAGAACAAGGGAAUACAGUUCAAGUUUCGGCAAUCAGGCGCCCACUUGGAGAACAGGGAAAUAUAGUUCAAAGUUUUGGCAAUCAGGCGCCCACCUGGAGAACAAGGGAAUACAGUUAAAGUUAUGGCACUCAGGCGCCCACCUGGAGAAUAAGGGAAUACAGUUCAAGUUUUGAUAAUCAAGCGCCUACAUGGAGAAGAAGGGAAUAUAGUUUAAAGUUUUGGCAAUCAGGCACCCACCAGGAGAACAAAGGAAUACAGUUCAAGUUUUGGCAAUCAGUAGCCUACUUGGAUAACAAGGGAAUGCAGUUCAGGUUUUUGCAAUCAGGCGCCUACCUGGAGAACAAUGGAAUACAGUUCAAGUUUGGGCAAUUAGGCACCCACCUGGAGAACAAGGGAAUACAGUUCAAGGAGAAUAAGGGAAUACAUUUCAAGUUUUGGCAAUCAGGUGCCCACCUGGAGAACAAGGGAAUGUAGUUCAGGUUUUGGCAAUCAGACGCCCACCUGGAGAACAAGGGAAUAUAGUUCAAGUUUGGGCAAUCAUGCGCCCACCUGGAGAACAAGGGAAUACAGUUCAAGUUUUCGCAAUCGGGCGCC